rnacentral:rRNA from 1 species
UACGUAGGGUGCGAGCGUUGUUCGGAAUUACUGGGCGUAAAGCGCACGUAGGCGGCUUUGUAAGUUAGAGGUGAAAGCCCGGGGCUCAACUCCGGAAUUGCCUUUAAGACUGCAUCGCUAGAAUUGUGGAGAGGUAAGUGGAAUUCCGAGUGUAGAGGUGAAAUUCGUAGAUAUUCGGAAGAACACCAGUGGCGAAGGCGACUUACUGGACACAUAUUGACGCUGAGGUGCGAAAGCGUGGGGAGCAAACAGG